rnacentral:rRNA from 1 species
UGCCAGCCGCCGCGGUAAUACGGAGGGUGCAAGCGUUGUUCGGAAUUACUGGGCGUAAAGCGCGCGUAGGCGGACUAUUAAGUCAGGGGUGAAAUCCCGGGGCUCAACCCCGGAACUGCCCUUGAUACUGGUAGUCUUGAGUAUGGGAGAGGAAAGUGGAAUUCCGAGUGUAGGAGUGAAAUCCGUAGAUAUUCGGAGGAACACCAGUGGCGAAGGCGGCUUUCUGGACCAAUACUGACGCUGAGAUGCGAAAGCGUGGGGAGCGAACAGGAUUAGAUA